rnacentral:rRNA from 1 species
CGGUGUUUAACUGGCGUGAUGUGGGACGUCCUACCGGUGGGCUUAGCCUCGCGAGGGGCGGCCCAACUAAUAUCCCGUCGCGGUGCUCUUUACUGAGUGUCGAGUCGGGCCGGUACGUUUACUUUGAACAAAUUAGAGUGCUUAAAGCAGGCUAUCCUCGCCUGAAUACUGCGUGCAUGGAAUAAUGGAAUAGGACCUCGGUUCUAUUUUGUUGGUUUUCGGAACCCCGAGGUAAUGAUUAAUAGGGACAGAUGGGGGCAUUCGUAUUGCGACGUUAGAGGUGAAAUUCUUGGAUCGUCGCAAGACGGACAGAAGCGAAAGCAUUUGCCAAAAAUGUUUUCAUUAAUCAAGAACGAAAGUUAGAGGUUCGAAGGCGAUCAGAUACCGCCCUAGUUCUAACCAUAAACGAUGCCAGCUAGCGAUCCGCCGAAGUUCCUCCGAUGACUCGGCGGGCAGCUUCCGGGAAACCAAAGCUUUUGGGUUCCGGGGGAAGUAUGGUUGCAAAGCUGAAACUUAAAGGAAUUGACGGAAGGGCACCACCAGGAGUGGAGCCUGCGGCUUAAUUUGACUCAACACGGGAAACCUCACCAGGCCCAGACACCGGAAGGAUUGACAGAUUGAUAGCUCUUUCUUGAUUCGGUGGGCGGUGGUGCAUGGCCGUUCUUAGUUGGUGGAGCGAUUUGUCUGGUUAAUUCCGAUAACGAACGAGACUCUAGCCUGCUAAAUAGGCGUACCUUAUGGUAUCGCGAAGGCCCCCGGCUUCGGCCGGUGGGUUUUUACUACCAACGUACAAACAAAUCUUCUUAGAGGGACAGGCGG